rnacentral:lncRNA from 1 species
GGCUGCCGCCCUUCCCCCACCCACGCCGGCGGGAGCCGCCCGUUCGCGCUGCCAGCAGCUUCCGCCUGCUACGGUCCUGGCAAGCACCUCGGGAUCCCAUUCCUUCACAGGGACCCUAGCCAGUUAAAGCUGAUACAUUCCUGUGGGUCAACUAUGCAACUAACUCAGAUUUUGAGCAAACAAAGCUCUCAAGUUGGUGAUCCUCAGGAGUCUCUGCAUUAGUUGGACAGCUCUUCUGGAAUUAUCUUCUAAGUCAACUGUGGGUUGGGUAGGUGGCUCUGCUGAUUUUUCGCUGGACUUCCACAUUUGGGACGAGUUGGCUGUCAUCAGCUCUAGAAAGGGUGUGGCCGUUUUACAUUGGCUGUUUUCCUCACAUUCCUCAAGCAGGUAAGCUUAAUCAUGUUCUCAUAUUGAAGCAGAAACUGUUUACUCAUUUAUCUAUUUACUUACUGGGUCUCCUGGGCACUAGGUACUGUAAUAAAGAACUGGAGAAAUACAGUCAGAUGGGAAGUAGCCCUUGCUGUCAAGGAGCUUGCCAUCUAAUGGGGGAGACAGGCAAGUAAACCAAAGACUACACAGUGCAGUAUGGUAAGUGCCAUGAUUUUGAUGUGACAGGGCACAGUGGACGACCUUCCAAAUCAAAGCAAGUAACUAGGGGUUGACAAUGGUAAGUAUCAUAGUUGAAGUAUCCUUGAACAAGGUUUCAGGAAGAAGAAGAAGGGAAUUUCAUGCAGGGAAACAGCCAAAGCUCAGUGAGUCAAAAUAUCACAGCAUUCUUGGUAAGCCCAAUUGUUUUUUCUGUUUUGCUAUUUUGGUGGAGAGAAAGGAACACAUAAAGGAAUAACAUGAGAGAAGGCUAUUUGGGGAAGUGUAGUAGUUAAGGUUCUGGCUCAAACAACAACUGCAGCUCAUAAAGUUGACUUUAGUGGAAGGAUACUGGGGUAUCUCAUGGAAUCUUGGGAACUGUUGAAUAACCAGGGAAACUCUGGGAAACUCACUGGUAGGAAUCCAUAAACUGUCCUCCUGGUGGGCUGUAAACAACUCACCCUCUAUGCAUCUCACAUCAAAAUUCCAGUUUCUUGGGAAAACAAGUCUGUUUGCCCAAUUUGGGUCAUAUUUCCACGUCCAUGUUACUCAGGCAUGAUUCAUCUGCAAGUUAUGUGUAUAGAUAUUUUGCUACUGUUCCACCCUUACGCUGUGCUGGGGAGGGAGGUGUCACUGUGAGCUGUGUCGGUGCCUUAAGAGAUAUCUGUUGUGUCUUAUUACUUGGUUGCUUUUCCCCACAUGUACAAUGACAAAAAUGCCUUCAACCUAUUUGAUCCAGCCGUUCCAGUACAACUCCUAUACUUGCCAUCUUUCCAAGCCCAAAGGUACAUCCAGCUGAUGGAAGGAGCAUCUUGGUGUUAAUAUUCUUUUAGUCAUGGUCUCUGAAAGUAAAAUGUCUAUUCUUCUAAUUCUGGCACAAUCUUAUCUAGCUAUAGUUCCUCAUGGUCCUGCACUCCAUGGACUAAAUUGUAAGUAUAAUUACUACCAAUGUACUCUAUAAAUAACUUUUGGGGCCAGGGUGGCAAUAGUUGCUAGAGAGAAAAAAAAAAAAAAGGAAGGAGAAGAAA